rnacentral:rRNA from 1 species
GUGAACGCUGGCGGUAGGCCUAACACAUGCAAGUCGAACGGCAGCACAGUAAGAGCUUGCUCUUACGGGUGGCGAGUGGCGGACGGGUGAGGAAUACAUCGGAAUCUACUUUUUCGUGGGGGAUAACGUAGGGAAACUUACGCUAAUACCGCAUACGACCUACGGGUGAAAGCAGGGGAUCUUCGGACCUUGCGCGAUUGAAUGAGCCGAUGUCGGAUUAGCUAGUUGGCGGGGUGAAGGCCCACCAAGGCGACGAUCCGUAGCUGGUCUGAGAGGAUGAUCAGACAAACUGGAAAUGUGGCAAGGUCCAGACACCUAUGGGCGGCAGAAGUGGGGAGUAUUGGGAAAUUGGCGGAAGCCUGAACCACGCAUACCGCGUAGGAAAAGAAGGCCUUUGGGUUGUAAAGCCCCUUUGGUGGGAAAAAAAAGCAGCAGUUUAAUACCCCGUGGUUCGAACGGUACCCAAAGAAUAAGCACCGGCUAACGUCC